GCGUCGGUAGUGCAACGGUUCAGGACGCCCUCCCGGAUAGGAUGAAAUAUGGGUUCAAAUCCCAGCUGACGCA